AUUGAACGCUGGCGGCAGGCCUAACGCAUGCAAGUCGAGCGGAUGAAGGGAGCUUGCUCCUGGAUUCAGCGGCGGACGGGUGAGUAAUGCCUAGGAAUCUGCCUGGUAGUGGGGGAUAACGUCCGGAAACGGGCGCUAAUACCGCAUACGUCCUGAGGGAGAAAGUGGGGGAUCUUCGGACCUCACGCUAUCAGAUGAGCCUAGGUCGGAUUAACUAGUUGGUGGGGUAAAGGCCUACCAAGGCGACGAUCCGUAACUGGUCUGAGAGGAUGAUCAGUCACACUGGAACUGAGACACGGUCCAGACUCCUACGGGAGGCAGCAGUGGGGAAUAUUGGACAAAGGGCGAAAGCCUGAUCCAGCCAUGCCGCGUGUGUGAAGAAGGUCUUCGGAUUGUAAAGCACUUUAAGUUGGGAGGAAGGGCAGUAAGUUAAUACCUUGCUGUUUUGACGUUACCAACAGAAUAAGCACCGGCUAACUUCGUG
rnacentral:rRNA from 1 species